ensembl:lncRNA CASC15 cancer susceptibility 15
GUGGUUGGUUGUGGUGCGUUCAAGAUUCCUCGCCUAAGAUGAGGUUCCUGAGCUUCCAGUAGGCGACUGACUGCCCAAGAGACCCAGGGCUCCGCAAGGAGACGGCGCAGGUGUCGGGGCUCCCCGCAGUACCCUCAGGUGACUACAGAUGUGUUAACACCCAGCAUGUUCCGGUAGGAGACUUUCUGGAUGGGGAAGAUUUCCAGGUGUGAAUCAUGGCAAUACAGUGAAAGACAGUGAUUUACUGCUUUUGAGGGCGUGCAUGUAUAUGAUUAACGGAUGGAAGUGCAGGACUCCAAGAUUUACUUCCUUCCCUUUCCAGCAGAAUUACCUGAGACGAGAUCUGCAUUUACUGCUCAACCACAUCUAAUUUGAUGUCCUCUGCAGAUUUAAAAUGUGUGCCUUCUUUUCCGUCACCAAGUCAUCCCUGGGUUACUACUGAACAUCCUUCUCAAUUCCCCCCGACCCAUGGAUGGCUGUUCUCCAUUGUCUGUUUCACCAGAUGUCCUCAAAACAAACAGACAGAAGAAGGAAGUGGCUAAUGGAGCUGUGGAGUCCAAGUGUGACUGCCAAGAGGAAUCCAGCAAAGCCAAAAAGCCCAAGCAUGUAGCCCUGCCCGAAGCACGCCACACGCAUGGAAAACCCAGAGGAAAUGAGUGAGGAUCAAUGGGAAGAAGAGAGCCAGCCAGGAAGUUGAAGAUUUGUCCAGGAGCAGAUAGCUGAAGAGAGAGAGAGAGAAGAGAGAACGGCUUACAGCUCAGGUCCUCUCUCCAUGCUUAGGAACCACUACAAAUGCUACUGCCUUGAGUCUCAUUUUGUUUCCCUCUGGAAACCACAUGUGUACCUUGUUUGCAACAGUAUGGUUCUGGAGACCAGAAGGCCAAAAUCAAAAGUAUGGGCAGGCUUGAUUUCUUUAGAAGACUCCAGCGGAGAACUGUGUCUCCUUGCUUCUGAUUCUACAUCUCCAUCCAUGGGCCACUGUUUCAGCAACCUCAGCCAGUGCAACACAACCUCAGCCAAGAAGAGUAUGCAGAGAAAGGAGUCCCCUACCUGCCACAAAACUGUUGUCUGAAAACUGUCUCAUAUUGUCUCAAGUUGUCAUUCAUUGUGAAUUAGACCUGUUUAACAUGUAAUCUGCAACAUGCUUCACUGUCUAAUUUUCCAGAGCCCCUCAUAUAAGGAACUGUAUUAUUGGUAUAAUCAUCAUGGUGAAGAAGUUGGUAUGUGGGGGAGAGAUGACAGAAACAGAGAGUAAGUCAGAGCUGGCUGCCUGACAGAUAAAAAGGAAAUGACCAAAAAAAAAAAAAAAGACACAGAAGAA